rnacentral:rRNA from 1 species
CCUACGGGGGGCAGCAGUAAGGAAUAUUGGUCAAUGGAGGCAACUCUGAACCAGCCAUGCCGCGUGCAGGAUGACGGCCCUAUGGGUUGUAAACUGCUUUUGUACCAGAGAAAACCCGAGUACGUGUACUCGGUUGAUAGUAUGGUAAGAAUAAGCAUCGGCUAACUUCGUGCCAGCAGCCGCGGUAAGACGAAGGAUGCAAGCGUUAUCCGGAUUCAUUGGGUUUAAAGGGUGCGUAGGCGGACUUGUAAGUCAGUGGUGAAAUCUCUUCGCUU